ACCAGCAGUACACAAGUGUUCCUAUUUUCCUGCCUACUUGCCGACACCUGUUAUUUUCCAUUCUUUUGAUUAUAGCUAUCUUAGUGAGUGUUUCACCUGAAAGUUUUACUUUACAAUCUUUUAUCUCGUAUUCUAUAAAUGCCAUCAUUUCUUGAGAGCAAAAAUUUCAGGUGUACAAUAGAGUGAUCCAACAAUUUCUUACAGUACUCAGUGCUCAACAUGAAGGCAAAAAUUACAGGAUCACUCUAAAGCUUUCCCAUUCUUCUCCUGCAUUUGAGUCCCUGCCAAGAUGUAAGUGAUGGUAGCUGACUUCCUUGCUACAGCAAGCUCUGAAUAAAUAACCUUUGCUUGUU